rnacentral:sRNA from 1 species
AAAAUGAACUAAAUAAAUAUUGCAGAUUAUUACAUCACCCCUUGGAUGGGGAGAGGUUUCCCUCAAGGAACUGGGCAUCUGCACUGUAAGGGCAGGCAGAUGCAGUCACUGAGGGCCUUGUCACCCCCAUCGCCCAUGUCUCCUCCAUUUCUGCUGCCACAUGGUAGGCACCUUACUGCUGUACCUGCUUUGAAUCUCAUCUCCCACCAUUCCUCUGAGCACCCUGCCAAGUUAAUCUUGAGAUAUUAGUUUUGUCUCUCCUGACACAGAAAUGUGGCCAGAGCUUCACCUUCGUCUGGCAGCCAAGGCCCCUUAUCAUUGGCCCAUAGUGACCAUCCUUGUAAGCUCUGUUCAUAUCUCCUUGCCUUCUCCCUCUAGCUUUUCCCUACACUUCUCCUCUGACCUUUUCACCCAGACCACUAUUUGUGCAUUCCUCCUUGAUGGUGAUCUGAGUCCAGGAGUACCACCCAGCCCUUCUUUCUUCCCCACAUAGCCUAUGGGUGACAACUACCAUCAAAUUGACUCCCUGCACCAUCCUUCUGCCACCUUUUUUCACAUCCCCUUUGCAGAUCCCCUUGACCACACCCUCAUUCUCAGCUGGUGCUCAUGAAGGACAGAAGAGUCAAUGUCAGUACAAUGUCCUAGUCAUGCCCAGCCUCAGAACUCGCCGUGAGGAGGCAGAGAUGGAACUCUCAGCUCCAGGACCAUCCCCUUGGACCCCUGCAGCCCAGGCCCAUGUGAAUGAUGCUCCUGCUGUGACCCACCCUGGAUCUGCAGCCUGUGGUACCCCCUGCUGUAGUGAUACUGAGCUGGAAGCCAUCUGCCCUCACUAUCAGCAGCCAGGUACUUUAAGAACAGUUCUCCGCUGGUGCCCUUAUUCUGGGGAAGUGAUGUCCAUGGAACCCUGUGCUUACCCCUAGGAGGCAUCUG